rnacentral:rRNA from 1 species
GACGAACGCUGGCGGCGUGCUUAACACAUGCAAGUCGAACGGAAAGGCCCUGCUUUUGUGGGGUGCUCGAGUGUCGAACGGGUGAGUAACACGUGAGUAACCUGCCCUUGACUUUGGUAUAACUUCAGGAAACUGGGGCUAAUACCGGAUAGGAGCUCCUGCUGCAUGGUGGGGGUUGGAAAGUUUCGGCGGUUGGGGAUGUACUCGCGGCUGAUCAGCUUGUUGGUGGUGUAGUGGCUUACCAAGGCUUUGACGGGUAGCCGGCCUGAGAGGGUGACCGGCCACAUUGGGACUGAGAUGCGGCCCAGACUCCUACGGGAGGCAGCAGUGGGGGAUAUUGCACGAUGGGCGGAAGCCUGAUGCAGCAACGCCGCGUGCGGGAUGACGGCCUUCGGGUUGUAAACCGCUUUCGCCUGUGACGAAGCGUGAGUGACGGUAGUGGGUAAAGAAGCACCGGCUAACUACGUG